AGUGAACGCUGGCGGUAGGCCUAACACAUGCAAGUCGAACGGCAGCACAGUAAGAGCUUGCUCUUACGGGUGGCGAGUGGCGGACGGGUGAGGAAUACAUCGGAAUCUAAUUUUUCGUGGGGGAUAACGUAGGGAAACUUACGCUAAUACCGCAUACGACCUACGGGUGAAAGCAGGGGAUCUUCGCACCUUGCGCGAUUGAAUGAGCCGAUGUCGGAUUAGCUAGUUGGCGGGGUAAAGGCCCACCAAGGCGACGAUCCGUAGCUGGUCUGAGAGGAUGAUCAGCCACACUGGAACUGAGACACGGUCCAGACUCCUACGGGAGGCAGCAGUGGGGAAUAUUGGACAAUGGGCGCAAGCCUGAUCCAGCCAUACCGCGUGGGUGAAGAAGGCCUUCGGGUUGUAAAGCCCUUUUGUUGGGAAAGAAAAGCAGCAGGUUAAUACCCCGCUGUUCUGACGGUACCCAAAGAAUAAGCACCGGCUAACUUCGUG
rnacentral:rRNA from 1 species